UACGUAGGGUCCGAGCGUUUGUCCGGAUUUAUUGGGCGUAAAGAGCUCGUAGGCGGUUCCGUAAGUCAGAUGUGAAAACUCAGGGCUCAACCCGGAGACGCCAUCUGAUACUGCGGUGACUGGAGUCUGGUAGGGGAACACGGAAUUCCUGGUGUAGCGGUGAAAUGCGCAGAUAUCAGGAGGAACACCGAUGGCGAAGGCAGGUCUCUGGGCAUUAACUGACGCUGAGGAGCGAAAGCAUGGGGAGCGAACAGG
rnacentral:rRNA from 1 species